UUAGUCACGCACCGUCCCGACGUCACCUUCCCGCCCGCUACAUUGUAAGGGGCAUGUACGCUGGUCACUGCAUUGAAAGGGGGCAUGUAAGCUGGUCACUGCAUUGAAAGGGGGCAUGUACGCUGGUCACUGUUUUGAAGGGGAGUGAAGAACACACAAAAAAGGUAACUUGUUAAUUUAACGUUUAUUUCUAUGAGGAGGAGUAAUUCUGAGGGGUC